rnacentral:rRNA from 1 species
CGGGUGCUUGCACCUGGUGGCGAGUGGCGAACGGGUGAGUAAUACAUCGGAACAUGUCCUGUAGUGGGGGGUAGCCCGGCGAAAGCCGGAUUAAUACCGCAUACGAUCUACGGAUGAAAGCGGGGGACCUUCGGGCCUCGCGCUAUAGGGUUGGCCGAUGGCUGAUUAGCUAGUUGGUGGGGUAAAGGCCUACCAAGGCGACGAUCAGUAGCUGGUCUGAGAGGACGACCAGCCACACUGGGACUGAGACACGGCCCAGACUCCUACGGGAGGCAGCAGUGGGGAAUUUUGGACAAUGGGCGAAAGCCUGAUCCAGCAAUGCCGCGUGUGUGAAGAAGGCCUUCGGGUUGUAAAGCACUUUUGUCCGGAAAGAAAUCCUUGGCUCUAAUACAGUCGGGGGAUGACGGUACCGGAAGAAUAAGCACCGGCUAACUACGUGCCAGCAGCCCCGGUAAUACGUAGGGUGCGAGCGUUAAUCGGAAUUACUGGGCGUAAAGCGUACGCAGGCGGUUUGCUAAGACCGAUGUGAAAUCCCCGGGCUCAACCUGGGAACUGCAUUGGUGACUGGCAGGCUAGAGUAUGGCAGAGGGGGGUAGAAUUCCACCGUGUAGCAGUGAAAUGCGUAGAGAUGUGGAGGAAUACCGAUGGCGAAGGCAGCCCCCUGGGCCAAUACUAC